rnacentral:rRNA from 1 species
AGUGAACGCUGGCGGUAUGCCUAACACAUGCAAGUCGAACGGCAGCACAGUAAGAGCUUGCUCUUACGGGUGGCGAGUGGCGGACGGGUGAGGAAUACAUCGGGAUCUACUCUUUCGGGGGGGAUAACGUAGGGAAACUUACGCUAAUACCGCAUACGACCUACGGGUGAAAGCAGGGGAUCUUCUGACCUUGCGCGAUUGAAUGAGCCGAUGUCGGAUUAGCUAGUUGGCGGGGUAAAGGCCCACGAAGGCGACGAUCCGUAGCCGGUCUGAGAGGAUGAUCAGCCACAUUGGAACUGAGACACGGUCCAGACUCCUACGGGAGGCAGCAGUGGGGAAUAUUGGACAAUGGGCGCAAGCCUGAUCCAGCCAUACCGCGUGGGUGAAGAAGGCCUUCGGGUUGUAAAGCCCUUUUGUUGGGAAAGAAAAGCAGCAGGUUAAUACGCCGCUGUUCUGACGGUACCCAAAGAAUAAGCACCGGCUAACUUCGUG